GGGCACGUAGCUCAGUGGGAGAGCGCUGCCUUCACACGGCAGAGGUCGGAGGUUCGAUACCUCCCGUGCCCA
rnacentral:tRNA from 1 species